rnacentral:misc_RNA from 1 species
AGGUCUUGACAUCCCACUGCCCGGUAUAGAGAUAUACCUUUCCCUUCGGGGACAGUGGUGACAGGUGGUGCAUGGUUGUCGUCAGCUCGUGUCGUGAGAUGUUGGGUUAAGUCCCGCAACGAGCGCAACCCUUGAUCUUAGUUGCCAGCAUUUAGUUGGGCACUCUAAGGUGACUGCCGGUGACAAACCGGAGGAAGGUGGGGAUGACGUAAGCCUAUCGAGA